UAAAGUCUCCCGGCUUUGAGGAAAAGAGUGAAAACAGUGCAUAUUUCCUACGUCUUGGAUACCUCCAUUAAGAUUUUCAAUGGCUAAGUUUUUCCCAUUCACGUAGAGUCAUAACAUAAUUCGUAAUGACUUUAAUAAAUAUAUUUUCACUUGUACUUUUGUGAAUGGCUAUCCUUUGCAUGUAAACAGCCUACUGCACACCUGUUGUAGCUGGAAAAAAUAUGAUUCAAGUCGGCUCAGGCUGAAAAAUGGCGAAAGUCGGCGACCCAGGCUGAAUGGUAAACGCGCACGCAGCCCUCCGGCCACGCGACGCCCACAACAGCAACCCUACACUCGAGCGCCGCCCACCUGUCGCGGGAAGGAAGUCGGCCCAAGUAGGAAAAUGGUGGAAGAAAUCGGCCCAGGUGGAAUGGUAAGCGCGCACGCUGCCCUCCGGUCGCGCGACGCCCAUAACAGCAGCCCUACACUCAAGCGCCGCCCUGUUACAGAUGGUGAAGGUUUUUCGGCUGGGUUUUUCUCCUUCACCUGGUUGGCAUCACAAUUGGCACAAUUCCCAGCACUAUUGGCUUUAAUAAAUAUAUCAACUUGAUUGGCAUUAAUAAAUAUAUUUUGACUUGUA